UACGAAGGGGGCUAGCGUUGCUCGGAAUCACUGGGCGUAAAGCGCACGUAGGCGGAUUGCUAAGUCAGGGGUGAAAUCCUGGAGCUCAACUCCAGAACUGCCUUUGAUACUGGUGAUCUUGAGUCCGGGAGAGGUGAGUGGAACUGGCGAGUGUAGAGGUGAAAUUCGUAGAUAUUCGCAAGAACACCAGUGGCGAAGGCGGACUCACUGGCCCGGUACUGACGCUGAGGUGCG
rnacentral:rRNA from 1 species